GACACGCUGGCGGCGUGCCUAACACAUGCAAGUCGAGCGAAUGAAGUUCCUUCGGGAACGGAUUUAGCGGCGGACGGGUGAGUAACACGUGGGCAACCUGCCUCAUAGAGGGGAAUAGCCUUCCGAAAGGGAGAUUAAUACCGCAUAAGAUUGUAGUACCGCAUGGUACAGCAAUUAAAGGAGCAAUCCGCUAUGAGAUGGGCCCGCGGCGCAUUAGCUAGUUGGUGAGGUAACGGCUCACCAAGGCGACGAUGCGUAGCCGACCUGAGAGGGUGAUCGGCCACAUUGGGACUGAGACACGGCCCAGACUCCUACGGGAGGCAGCAGUGGGGAAUAUUUGCACAAUGGGGGAAACCCUGAUGCAGCAACGCCGCGUGAGUGAUGACGGCCUUCGGGUUGUAAAGCUCUGUCUUCAGGGACGAUAAUGACGGUACCUGAGGAGGAAGCCACGGCUAACUACGUG
rnacentral:rRNA from 1 species